AUUGAACGCUGGCGGCAGGCUUAACACAUGCAAGUCGAGCGGAGACUUCGGUCUUAGCGGCGAACGGGUGAGUAAUACCUAGGAAUCUGCCUAUUAGUGGGGGAUAACGAAUCGAAAGGUUCGCUAAUACCGCAUACGUCCUACGGGAGAAAGGGGGGGGUCUUCGGACCUCUCGCUAAUAGAUGAGCCUAGGCCGGAUUAGCUAGUUGGUAGGGUAAAGGCCUACCAAGGCGACGAUCGGUAGCUGGUCUGAGAGGAUGAUCAGCCACACUGGGACUGAGACACGGCCCAGACUCCUACGGGAGGCAGCAGUGGGGAAUAUUGGACAAUGGGCGCAAGCCUGAUCCAGCAAUGCCGCGUGUGUGAAGAAGGCCUGCGGGUUGUAAAGCACUUUUGUUCGGGAAGAAAUCAUGCUGGUUAAUACCUGGUAUGGAUGACGGUACCGAAAGAAUAAGCACCGGCUAACUUCGUGCCAGCAGCCGCGGUAAGUACAGUGU
rnacentral:rRNA from 1 species